rnacentral:antisense_RNA from 1 species
GUUCUGAAACCAGCGUCUCUGGUUGCAACCGAAGAGGUUGCUCAGUCACACUCCUGAAAGGCAAAAGGAGGUUGGCCAGUAAAAAAGAUGUAAACGCUAGAUGUAGUUCUUAGUGUGGAAGCCACAGGAGAGCUUCCAGUGUGGGCCACGGGGAUUGCCGAGGCUUUUAUGCAGGGGAGUUCAGCCUACACCCAGGAACGAACAAGGACAGCGUGGAGUUUAGAAGCAAGUGGACUUGGUUCAUCUGUUUCACUGGCUCAUAAUUUUGCAAGGGCGGUUUCAUCUGUACCCUGACAAUACCUUCUAGUUUUUUUACCCACUGGUGUUGAGACUUAAUUGAAGACCUCAGACGGACAGAAUACCAUGGAACCUGAGACCUUGAUUUGCGGGGACAGGUUUAAAGUAUAUUCUGGGGUUGGUGCCCCCACCCCAGGGGCCGGCUCAGAGGGCUCACUUUCCAGCCUAAUUUCAGGGGAACCAGAGGCUGCCGACCUGGAUCUCACCUUGACGGAGGUCUUGUCACCUUCCUCCUCGGCUGGAGAGGCAGACUGUGGAUGCUCUCCUGCUGGCUACCCAAAAACAAACAAAUAGACAAACAAAUAUGAAUGAGGAAAACCUGAAGAGGCCCCAUGUGCCGGAGGUGGGACAGCUUGAGAUUUGGUGAGGAUAAUUGCAGUGGCUCAAAACCCAUAAAGAAGUUUCAGUCCAUGAGUUCACCGUAACGUUAAAACAAACAAAAAAACAACAAAUUGAUCAUCUUUGGAGGCUAACAAUCAAUUCAUUAUCUUAGAGACAGACAGAGGCUCACUAGUGGCACGAUCUUGGCUGACUGCAUCUUCCACCUCCUGGGUUCAAGAGAUUCUUGUGCCUCAGCCUCCUGAGUAGCUAAGAUUACAGGUGUGCACCACCACGCCCAGCUAAUUUUUGUAUUUUUAGUAGAGAUGAGGUUUCACCAUGUUGGCCAGGCUGGUCUCGAACUCCUGACCUCAAGUGAUCUGCCCGCCUCGGCCUCCCAAAGUGCUGGGAUUACAGGCGUGAGCUACUGCGGCUGGCCACAUUUCCCUUCUGGUGCGCGUCCUCCUGUAGCUGCGGGAUCAGGGGAGGUAGAGAUGUCUUGUAACUGACUCAAGUUUGGCUGCUCGCCGCAGGAGAAGCGAGGUAUGGUGAAAGGAAAGCAACUUUUAUUCAUGUGUUAGCAGGUGGGAGAGUGGCUGGGCUCAAGGCUCCGAGGAACCAUCUCAGCUUUUUGGACUGAGUGAAGGGCUUUAGGAAGGAGAACUUGGUGUGGGAGACGUGGGAGUGGGGCAGUGGUGCAGGUGUCUUGAGUAAUUGCCCAUCCGGAGGUCUAGUUGGCAUCAUCUUGACCUUGGUCCGGUGGUGGUGGACUCGUUGUUCAUAACUCCCCUAGACAGGAGGAUUCCACAACUGGGUUCUAUGCCUGGUUUAUUUAAAAAUGAGCCCCUGGCAUUUCUAAGCAGGCACAAAGUGAGAUAAGUGAGCACUGUGGCUGGUGGGAAAGGGAGGGAAGCAGGUUUAAAGUAUGUUUCAAGGCUGCAUUCUGAGGCUAGGAGGGAAAGGAAGAAAAACUUUAAAAUGCUUCUCAAGGCUGAGAUAUUUGACUACAGUCUCAUGCCCAAAAUGUUUCUAUUCUGCGCUGAGACCUGAUAGAAAAUUUGGCUGCAUACAUGGAGUCCAGUGUGUGCGCCUGCCCCUCCCAUCCCAGACUCGCAGCCAGUGGAAAAGUCUGCAAAAGGAAGCCAGCUGGGAGUGCCCACCAGAGUCAAAGUCUGGGGUAGGCUGGUGGACUCAAGAGGAGUCUUAAAUAUUGGAAAUGUCAUCACAAACCAUUUGGGAAGCCCCCUUCUCUUAAAAAGGACAUGAAGUCAAAGUGAACAGCGGUGCUCACCCCAAGCCCAUGCCCACAACCACAGUGCCCUUGACAUUCAGAGUCAUGGCCACUGUCCACAAAAUUGUGACUUACAGUUUACAAAAUUGGGACAUAUUUACAUGUUGACUAAGUUGGGAAAUAAUUGGGUUUUCUUUAAAAGUAGUAAAAGUGAAGAAGAAAAAGUCAAAAAGGUCUAACAUCUAAGAUGGUGAAAUUUCCUUACUUUAGAUCACCAGUAAUCAGGCUGAUCCUGCUUGAGCCACAAGCUCCCUGGGACCCAGCAGCAGCUAUGCAUUGGUGCAUGGUGCCCUGCGUCUGAUCAGCUGACUCCUCAGGCAAAAUUUGCACCAUUUUCACCCGAAUUGCAGAUGUCCUCAGUGUCAUUACAAAGUUCCUAAGUCAUGACCAUUCUGUUCCUGUAGAGCCAGGCUGGAGUAAGCUCCCAUUUCUUUAAGCCCUCCUGUCCCCUGCAGGGACUUCCAAGGUUGAGCUGAUGAGCAAUAGUUAUGAGUCAUUGGAGGAGACAUCCCAGAGGCGCCAGCUCCCCCCUGCCCUAAACUGAAAUUAAGACCUGGUGCUCCGGGUGGGGCCCCUGGGAGGGGAUGUGCAACUCAGAGGGGACCUUCUCCACCUCCACCCCAGGAGACCCCAGAGGGACCAUGGCAGAGCUGGAGCCCUCUUUUAAAAGUCAAAUAAAAAUAAGCAAAAGAAGCCAAUCGUCUCUGUGAAAUGUCCAGAACAGGGAACUCUGUAGAGACAGAGAGGAGAUUAUUGGCUGCCGGAGGCUGGGAAUGAGAAGGUAAGGGGCCUGGGGAGGUGACGGUUAAAAGAUUUUUCUUUGUGGUGAUGAAAUUGUCUUACAAGGGACUGUGGUGAUAGUUGUGCAACUUGGUGAAUAUAUAAAGGUUAUUUAAUUGUACACUUUAAAUGGGUGCAUUGUAUGGUGUGUGAAACACAUCUCAAUAAAGCUGUUAUUUA